rnacentral:lncRNA from 1 species
AUAGCAUUUUAUCCAAGUUAUUGAACAUGUUGGUAAUAGCAAAAGAUACUUUGAAGAGUUCAAAGGGUAUAGUUCUGGCUGUGGAGCGGGCUUCUUCUAAAAGAAAGUCUUCUUUCAAGAAGAAGAAGAAGAAGCCUGCGAAAAAGCAAAAAAAUGAGGCCAAGCCCAAGAAGUAGGUUCUGAAGAAGGCCAAUGAUAAGAAAAAGUAUUUCUAUUGCAACAUCGAAGGCCAAUAGAAGAGGAACUGUCUGGCCUACCAGAUGACUGUCA